rnacentral:rRNA from 1 species
GACGAACGCUGGCGGCGUGCCUAACACAUGCAAGUCGAGCGGAGCGGCGGACGGGUGAGUAAUGACUAGGAAUCUGCCUGGUAGUGGGGGAUAACGUCCGGAAACGGGCGCUAAUACCGCAUAAUAUCAGAUGAGCCUAGGGCGGAUUAGCUAGUUGGUGGGGUAAAGGCCUACCAAGGCGACGUUCCGUAACUGGUAUGAGAGGAUGAUCAGUCACGCUGGAACUUAGACACGGUCCAGACUCCUACUGGGGGCAGCAUUGGGGAAUAUUGGACAAUGGGCGAAAGCCUGAUCCAGCCAUGCCGCGUGUGUGAAGAAGGUCUUCGGUUUGUAAAGCACUUUAAGUUGGGAGGCGUUUCCAACAGAAUAAGCACCGGCUAACUACGUGCCGGCAGCCGCGGUAAUA